UAAUAAAUACACAUCAGCAAUAUAGACCUGAGGGCUGACCUCGGAAUCUUUAAUAAUUAAAGCCUGGUGUCCCUAUGAUGAAUAACAUGACAACUCUCAAAUACUGGUCAUGGAUCGGCGUUUUUUCCGUGUCGAUUCUCUUCUGGUGUCAGCUUAUCUGGCUGGCUAUCCACUAAAUGCUAAAACCUCGCUGCGGCGGGGUUUUUUGUUUU
rnacentral:sRNA from 1 species